GACAGUGAUGCAAAGAUCCUAUUCCAUUGCUGAAUACUCACAAUGUGGAAAACUGCUAACUGACGUU